CUGAGCGCCGACAAGAGAUCAGUCUGAAUUGAAACAACUGCGGAUGCUGUAAAUUAAGAACAAAAACAGAAGUUGCUGGAAAAGCUCAGCAGGUUUGGCAGCAUCUGUGAAGAAAACAAAACAGAGUUAACGUUUCGUGUCCGGUGUCCCUUCCUCAGAGCAGUAACGUUCCGGCUGGUGUUUGCACGCAGGCGCAGCGUCAUUUUGACUGACGUAAGCGGGUGAUUGCAGGAUUCAUGUAUGGGAUGGACUUCCGGAGGAAGUACUGGGUGCGGGUACAGUUACAGCAUUUAAAAGGCAAUUGGGUCUGUGUCUCGUCGUUGCAUCAAGUCCGUGAGUGUCUCCGAAAAUGAACAUAACAUUUGGUGCCGUGACCAGGAUUGCAACAUGUACAGCAGUCUCAUGUGGAGUGCUGAAUAAGGGAUCGAUCGAGUGUCAGUGGAGUGAGACAGACAGGCU